UACGUAGGGGGCAAGCGUUGUCCGGAUUUAUUGGGCGUAAAGAGCGCGUAGGCGGCCAGGUAGGUCGGUUGUGAAAACUGGAGGCUCAACCUUCAGACGUCGACCGAAACCAUCUGGCUAGAGUCCGGGAGAGGAGAGUGGAAUUCCUGGUGUAGCGGUGAAAUGCGCAGAUAUCAGGAAGAACACCCGUGGCGAAAGCGGCUCUCUGGAACGGUACUGACGCUGAGACGCGAAAGCGUGGGGAGCGAACAGG
rnacentral:rRNA from 1 species